rnacentral:rRNA from 1 species
GGGUGAGCGAUUAUCGGGAAUUACUGGGCGUAAGCGUGUGUAGGCGGUUCGGAAAGAAAGAUGUGAAAUCCCAGGGCUCAACCUUGGAACUGCAUUUUUAACUGCCGAGCUAGAGUAUGUCAGAGGGGGGUAGAAUUCCACGUGUAGCAGUGAAAUGCGUAGAUAUGUGGAGGAAUACCGAUGGCGAAGGCAGCCCCCUGGGAUAAUACUGACGCUCAGACACGAAAGCGUGGGGAGCAAACAGGAUUAGAUACCCUGGUAGUCCACGCCCUAAACGAUGUCAACUAGCUGUUGGGGCCGUUAGGCCUUAGUAGCGCAGCUAACGCGUGAAGUUGACCGCCUGGGGAGUACGGUCGCAAGAUUAAAACUCAAAGGAAUUGACGGGGACCCGCACAAGCGGUGGAUGAUGUGGAUUAAUUCGAUGCAACGCGAAAAACCUUACCUACCCUUGACAUGUCUGGAAAGCCGAAGAGAUUUGGCCGUGCUCGCAAGAGAACCGGAACACAGGUGCUGCAUGGCUGUCGUCAGCUCGUGUCGUGAGAUGUUGGGUUAAGUCCCGCAACGAGCGCAACCCUUGUCAUUAGUUGCUACGCAAGAGCACUCUAAUGAGACUGCCGGUGACAAACCGGAGGAAGGUGGGGAUGACGUCAAGUCCUCAUGGCCCUUAUGGGUAGGGCUUCACACGUCAUACAAUGGUCGGGACAGAGGGUCGCCAACCCGCGAGGGGGAGCCAAUCUCAGAAACCCGAUCGUAGUCCGGAUCGCAGUCUGCAACUCGACUGCGUGAAGUCGGAAUCGCUAGUAAUCGCGGAUCAGAAUGUCGCGGUGAAUACGUUCCCGGGUCUUGUACACACCGCCCGUCACACCAUGGGGAGUGGGUUUCACCAGAAGUAGGUAGCCUAACCGUAAGGAGGGCGCUUACCACGGUGGGAUUCAUGACUGGGGUGACUAACAAGAAACCCCCCACAGACACACAAAAAAAAGAGGGCGGAGGGGGGG